rnacentral:rRNA from 1 species
UACGAAGGGGGCUAGCGUUGCUCGGAAUGACUGGGCGUAAAGGGCGCGUAGGCGGAUGGCACAGUCAGAUGUGAAAUUCCUGGGCUUAACCUGGGGGCUGCAUUUGAUACGUGUUGUCUAGAGUGAGGAAGAGGGUUGUGGAAUUCCGAGUGUAGAGGUGAAAUUCGUAGAUAUUCGGAAGAACACCAGUGGCGAAGGCGACUCACUGGACACGUAUUGACGCUGAGGUGCGAAAGCGUGGGGAGCAAACAGG